rnacentral:rRNA from 1 species
UACAGAGGUCUCAAGCGUUGUUCGGAUUCAUUGGGCGUAAAGGGUGCGUAGGUGGCGCCGUAAGUCAGGUGUGAAAUCUCGGGGCUCAACCCCGAAACUGCACUUGAUACUGCGGUGCUCGAGUACUGGAGAGGAGAUUGGAAUUUACGGUGUAGCAGUGAAAUGCGUAGAUAUCGUAAGGAAGACCAGUGGCGAAGGCGGGUCUCUGGACAGUUCCUGACGCUGAGGCACGAAGGCCAGGGGAGCAAACGGG